UGGAAAAGCAAGCGUGACUCACUCGCUGUAGCUCCUGGUUCUUCUCCUCCAGUUGCGCCUCCAUCUGUCGCAGUCGCUCCUCAAAGUUACCAUGACGCUCCUCCGCCUGAGCAAUUGGAGAGCAAGGACAUUAAUCUUAUCCUUCCACGCCAGCCUUCCUGCCCGAACAUGUAGAAGCAGUAGUUGUUGAAGAGGUUUGACUAAUAAGAGCAGAGCGACUUCUAUGCAAAUUUUUUGGUGUGAGGAAACCAUUUUUUUACGGGAAUGCAAGAGGUUAACAUGCAUGCAAUUAAAUCAGUCAGUCAGGAAGAAUUUUUGCGGUGUACAGUCCUUGGCGUGCUGAGCACCCAAGGAUGUAAUAGCUGUGCUCACUCUGUGCCCUGAGCGGGCUUUCAUCUCAGCUUGUCUGAUUAUGUAUUGCUGCCACGGCUUGAUAAAAUAUUUGCUAUUCUUCUA